rnacentral:rRNA from 1 species
AACAAACGCUGGCGGCGUGCCUAAUACAUGCAAGUCGAACGGGGAAAGCUUUCGGGUGAGUACUAGUGGCGCACGGGUGAGUAACGCGUGGAUAAUCUGCCUUAGAGUGGGGGAUAACUAGUAGAAAGAUUAGCUAAUACCGCAUAAGACCACAAGAACUGCGGUUCAAGGGGUCAAAGGUUUUUCGCUCUAAGAUGAGCCCGCGUAAGAUUAGCUAGUUGGUAGGGUAACGGCCUACCAAGGCGACGAGCUUUAACUGGUCUGAGAGGAUGAUCAGUCACACUGGAACUGAGACACGGUCCAGACUCCUACGGGAGGCAGCAGUAGGGAAUAUUGCACAAUGGAGGAAACUCUGAUGCAGCGACGCCGCGUGAGUGAUGAAGGCCUUCGGGUCGUAAAGCUCUGUCGCAGGGGAAUAACACAAUGAAGGUACCCUGUAAGAAAGGAUCGGCCAACUUCGUGCCAGCCGCCGCGGUAAGAC